rnacentral:rRNA from 1 species
GGGUCAGUAGGUUGGUCGUGCCACCGGUACGUAUUGGUCUCACUGAUUCCUCCUUCCUGAAGAACCGUAAUGCCACUAAUUUGGUGUUGCGGGGAAACAGGACUGUUACUUUGAAAAAAUUAGAGUGUUUAAAGCAAGCUAACGCUUGAAUACAUUAGCAUGGAAUAAUGAAAUAGGACGAUCGAUCCUAUUUUGUUGGUUUCUAGGAUUGACGUA